CAAUGUUUAGCAACAUACCGCUAAAUGAAUAUUUUGAGGCGGUUUCAGUAACCGCCGCUAUUUAAGUGUUUAAAAAAAAUUCCGACUCUAAAAGCCUGGCAAGUCACAACUCUCCGCCAGUCUGCCGUUCUCCAAUUCAAUCCUUAACACUUUUUUCUUCCAUAACCUUAUUUAGACAUGAGACAUUGAAUCCCUAAAAAUCUAAAAUCCCUAGCUGCUCGCUUGCAAUUUCCAGUUCCACUCUCCGCUAGUUCGUUGCACUGCGACUGCCCGUGUGAUUUUCAGUCUCUGGUCUCCGCCUCCGCCCUCCGUUGCGACAGCGCCGGCGAGGCGUCGAGAAGUCGAGAACUCCGCCUCUGGACGAAGGGGACGAAGGGGGGUGUUUCUAGUUUUCUGAGAGGUUACCAGUGAUAAGCUGCUUCGAUUCAUUUCCGGUCAUUUCUGAAUUCCGAUGAACUGUCAAGGAAUUCUGCCGGCGGCCUGAUAACUGUUUUCACUUCUUCACUGAUUUUCCUUGACAAUCACAUCUAACGCUGUCGUCAAUCACUCUGUCACCGGGCACCAUCGUCAAGUAUUCUGUCGCCAAUAUAUCCAUGUACUGUUCUUAUUUUAUUUGCCCUUGUUAAUUAUUUUUGUGUCAAUAGGAAAAUAGUUUGGCUGUGGUGUGUAAUAAAUGUUUUGGUUUGGAAAUUCCUGUGUUUGUUUCUUUAUGCUUCAUGAACUUAGUAUGUUUCUUUAUUGUCCAUGAAUUUGUUGGAAGAACUUUCUAGUUGCACAUACUGAUUUAGAGUUACAUUUAAUUUCUUGGAAGGGAAUUAUAUUUUGUGUUUUCAAAAUUUUCCUAAAAUCUAAUCACAUUUAGGGUUUGUAUCUUUAUUUAUCUUGAAUAAAAUGUGACCUUUUUUUUAAUCUCUUGAACUAAGAAGGAUAAAACUAGUUAAAAGAUAAUGAAGACUGAAAUAAUGAAGGUUAAAAUAACUAAGGAUAAAAUGUGACUAUAUUUUUCUUGAACUAAGAAGGAUAACAGAUUAACAGGGGAUAAGAGAAAGAUAAUUAAGUCUAGUUAAGAGAGUGAAGGCUACAAUAAUGAAGGUUAAAAUAACUAAGGAUAAAAUGAAUAUUACUAAGAAAGUGAGCAAGUUCUGUCUCUUAGUAUAUAUUUUUACUAAUUAUUCGUCUCUGAUUACUGUUUUAUAAUCAUCUUUCAUUUAAAGCUAGACCAUACAUGCUUAUAAGUUAUAAGAUAAUGUGGACCUUUUUACAUUAAUAUUUCCUCAUGUCUUUGGAAUCAUUUUAAUUUUAAGAAUAUUUAGACAUGCAUAAAUUGUGGACCUUCUUGAGUUUGGUAGUUUUGAGAAACUGUUUUUCAGAUUAUUUUGGUUUAUUACUUUUUAUUAAUGGAAUAGUUUUGACAUAGAGCAACCAUAUAUUGAAGCAUGCAAGGCUGCUGAUCAAUCUGCCAAGAUAUAUAAGCUAGCAUGAUAUCAAUCUAUCAAUGUGGUAAACGGCCAUCGUCAACCUACACAUCAAAAGAUAGUAAGAUAAUGUAUGUCUUUCAGUUCACAAUUUUGAACCAAAGGGAGGAUGGAAGCCCCAGAGAAGAGAAAUUGAGUGAUGACUAAAUUCAUUCUCAAGUUCCAAUGGUUAAGUGAAUUUCUUUUGAAAAGAUUUGGUUGGAAUCUGAAUGAUGCUUGAGAAAAUUGUCAAUUCUUCGUGGACUCUGUCACAAGGUUGGGAUAGAGUUGGUUUCCAGAGAUUAUGACGUGGAAAGUUCAAAUCCAUUUUGUGAAACUGAUGUCAUCAGUUUAGUGCCUUAAUUUGUGUAAAGUAAGGUUUCUUUCACUUAGCUUAUAAUUUUGUUUAAUCAGUUUAGCUUAUAAAAUUCUUUGAUAUUCUGCUGGCAUUAGUAUUUUUAAGUAGUGAAAACAGAAGAAUAUUGUUCAUCAAAAUGAUCUUCACAGCAUGUUGUAUGCUCUUUUGCUUAUGGUCGAACCUUACUGGAGUCCUCUAAGAUUGCUCUUGACAAAAGAUUGCUCUUGACAAAGGGAAGCUGGAAGAUGCCUUGAAUUUUGUAACAAUGGUAUAUAAGAUUGUUUUUCAAUUUUCAUGAAUUAUUAACUCUUAUAUAGUUGCAUAGAUUAAAAAAAAAAUUGACUAUAUAUGAUUUGAUUUUGAACUGAA